rnacentral:rRNA from 1 species
UACGAAGGGGGCUAGCGUUGCUCGGAAUGACUGGGCGUAAAGGGCGCGUAGGCGGAUGGCACAGUCAGAUGUGAAAUUCCUGGGCUUAACCUGGGGGCUGCAUUUGAUACGUGUGAUCUAGAGUGAGGAAGAGGGUUGUGGAAUUCCCAGUGUAGAGGUGAAAUUCGUAGAUAUUGGGAAGAACACCGGUGGCGAAGGCGGCGACCUGGUCCUUAACUGACACUGAGGCGCGAAAGCGUGGGGAGCAAACAGG